GUUAGCUGCGCUACCAAGGCCCGAAGGCCCCAACAGCUAGUUUGACAUCGUUUUAGGGCGUGGACUACCAGGGGKAUCUAAUCCUGGUUUGCUCCCCACGCUUUCGUGCAUGAGCGUCAGUGUCAUCCCAGGGGGCUGCCUUCGCCAUCGGUGUUCCUCCGCAUAUCUACGCAUUUCACUGCUACACGCGGAAUUCCACCCCCCUCUGACGCACUCUAGUUCGACAGUUAAAAAUGCAGUUCCAAGGUUAAGCCCUGGGAUUUCACAUCUUUCUUUCCGAACCGCCUGCGCACGCUUUACGCCCAGUAAUUCCGAUUAACGCUUGCACCCUACGUAUUACCGCGGCUGCUGGCACGUAGUUAGCCGGUGCUUAUUCUGCAGGUACCGUCAUCUACACAGGGUAUUAACCCAUGCAAUUUCUUUCCUGCCAAAAGUGCUUUACAACCCGAAGGCCUUCAUCGCACACGCGGGAUGGCUGGAUCAGGGUUGCCCCCAUUGUCCAAAAUUCCCCACUGCUGCCUCCCGUAGG
rnacentral:rRNA from 1 species